rnacentral:tRNA from 1 species
GGGUCGUUAGCUCAGUUGGUAGAGCAGUUGACUGUUAAUCAAUUGGUCGCUGGUUCGAAUCCAGCACGACCCACCA